rnacentral:rRNA from 1 species
CCUGGUUGAUUCUGCCAGUAGUCAUAUGCUUGUCUCAAAGAUUAAGCCAUGCAUGUCUAAGUAUAAGCAACUUGUACUGUGAAACUGCGAAUGGCUCAUUAAAUCAGUUAUCGUUUAUUUGAUAGUACCUUACUACAUGGAUACCUGUGGUAAUUCUAGAGCUAAUACAUGCUAAAAACCCCGACUUCAGGAAGGGGUGUAUUUAUUAGAUAAAAAACCAACGCCCUUCGGGGCUCCUUGGUGAAUCAUAAUAACUUAACGAAUCGCAUGGCCUUGCGCCGGCGAUGGUUCAUUCAAAUUUCUGCCCUAUCAACUUUCGAUGGUAGGAUAGUGGCCUACCAUGGUGGCAACGGGUAACGGGGAAUUAGGGUUCGAUUCCGGAGAGGGAGCCUGAGAAACGGCUACCACAUCCAAGGAAGGCAGCAGGCGCGCAAAUUACCCAAUCCCGAUACGGGGAGGUAGUGACAAUAAAUACUGAUACGGGGCUCUUUUGGGUCUCGUAAUUGGAAUGAGAACAAUUUAAAUCCCUUAACGAGGAACAAUUGGAGGGCAAGUCUGGUGCCAGCAGCCGCGGUAAUUCCAGCUCCAAUAGCGUAUAUUAAAGUUGUUGCAGUUAAAAAGCUCGUAGUUGAACCUUGGGUCUGGCUGGCCGGUCCGCCUCACCGCGAGUACUGGUCCGGCUGGACCUUUCCUUCUGGGGAACCUCAUGGCCUUCACUGGCUGUGGGGGGAACCAGGACUUUUACUGUGAAAAAAUUAGAGUGUUCAAAGCAGGCCUUUGCUCGAAUACAUUAGCAUGGAAUAAUAGAAUAGGACGUGUGGUUCUAUUUUGUUGGUUUCUAGGACCGCCGUAAUGAUUAAUAGGGAUAGUCGGGGGCGUCAGUAUUCAGCUGUCAGAGGUGAAAUUCUUGGAUUUGCUGAAGACUAACUACUGCGAAAGCAUUCGCCAAGGAUGUUUUCAUUAAUCAGGGAACGAAAGUUAGGGGAUCGAAGACGAUCAGAUACCGUCGUAGUCUUAACCAUAAACUAUGCCGACUAGGGAUCGGACGGGAUUCUAUAAUGACCCGUUCGGCACCUUACGAGAAAUCAAAGUUUUUGGGUUCUGGGGGGAGUAUGGUCGCAAGGCUGAAACUUAAAGAAAUUGACGGAAGGGCACCACAAGGCGUGGAGC